AAGCCAGGGUCCGCCCUGCAGUGUCCAGCUCUGUGACAGUGGCUGCUGGAGUGGAUCUCACGGCCUCCACUUCCGCCCCUGGACGGCAGGGAGGUUCCCAGGUGAGCUCAGGAGCCCUUCCAGCUGCAUGAGCAUCGCAUAGGCCACCUGGGCAGAGGAGACACUGAUGAGCCUCACGUGGCUCUGAUUAUCUUGACUUUGGCUGAUCCUGGCUGUGCUCUGCUGAGACACCUCUGCUUCAGAUAUCUCUCAUCUCCCUCCUUGGAAUACCUGGAUAUCCAGGCCAGAUGUCUCUCAUAGUUAUGCCAGAAGAAUGAGAGAGCUAAUAGAACUGUACAAGACCCCCCUACAUCUCAAAGCAAGUCA